GAUGAACGCUAGCGGCAGGCCUAACACAUGCAAGUCGAGGGGUAGAACACUUCGGUGUUUGAGACCGGCGCACGGGUGCGUAACGCGUAUGCAGUCUACCUUGUACAGGGGAAUAGCCCAGAGAAAUUUGGAUUAAUACCCCAUGGUAUAAUUAAUUUGCAUGAAUUGAUUAUUAAAGUUCCAACGGUACAAGAUGAGCAUGCGUCCCAUUAGCUAGUUGGUGUGGUAACGGCAUACCAAGGCGACGAUGGGUAGGGGUCCUGAGAGGGAGAUCCCCCACACUGGUACUGAGACACGGACCAGACUCCUACGGGAGGCAGCAGUGAGGAAUAUUGGUCAAUGGUCGGAAGACUGAACCAGCCAUGCCGCGUGCAGGAAGAAGCAUCUAUGGUGUGUAAACUGCUUUUGUACGGGAAGAAACACUCCUACGUGUAGGAGCUUGACGGUACCGUAAGAAUAAGGAUCGGCUAACUCCGUGCCAGCAGCCGCAGUAACAC
rnacentral:rRNA from 1 species